UUUCGUUGCUCACGUUCCUCGACCCUAAUGUCCACGUGAGGUGUGAGUUCAAUGGAUAAAGGAAAUCACAUUACUAAUAGAAUGAUGCCGCAGCAAAGAAAAUGCUCUCAGCCUUGGAUGAUCCAUUCACUCGAUUCUUGAAACCAUUACCUUUUCUGAAGCAAGACUAGCUAGCACCCAAGGUGCCCUGGCAGGGGUCAUCAAGGAAACUCAAUAGAUGGCUAUUUCAAUGGAGAUUAUACCAGAGAUGUUGUUUUGAAAGUAUAUGCCAGGAGAGAAAGAUAUACUUGAAACCCGAUGAGGUCAAUGAUGUGGAGAUUUUACCAGAGAUGUUGUUUUCAAGUAAGAUUUUGUGUGAUAUUAUACCGAUCGCUCCAGCACGCCACAUUGUUGCUCCACGGCAAAGGCAGCGAGAGCGGCGGUUUCGACGUCGACUGGCUGCCUGCUGCUUGCUUGUACGUGUGGAAGGCAGUUGUUCACGGCAGACCAGUGAGCGGCGGCGGGUGGGCGCGACCACAUGAUGGUUGGAAGGUAGGCUUCGUGGCGUUCAGCUUCAGCCACCAUCGUACCACGAUCUCGGCCCACCUGGAAAGUCGGAUGAAGAGGUGGUGGACGACUGAUCCCGGAGAGGAGAACAAGCCUCCGAGCACGUGCUCGUCAACUCCAUGCCGGCCGCUCCAAGCGCCCCUGCUCAUGUCUUUGAGGCAGGCGCCGAGAUAGCCUUUGCAGCGAGCUGUGGUGUGUGGACUCUGCAGCGAGAUGGGAUUCAGAAUCCUUU